AAGUGGAAGCCAAUCUAGGCAUUUAUCUGUUACAUAAACCCCUGCUUUAUUUAGCCCACUUA
rnacentral:tRNA from 1 species